rnacentral:tRNA from 1 species
GGGCGAGUGGUGGAAUGGCAGACACGUGGGACUUAAAAUCCCAUGGAUGAAUAAUCCGUGUGGGUUCGACUCCCACCUCGCCCACCA